CUCCUGCUUCAGGGGCACGAUGUGAUCCAUCAGCUAGGAGGGACGCCAAUAAGGCAUCCAAUAAGAUAAGUCUUAUAAAAUAUAUAGAUAUAUGAUAAUUGAGACUGAGCUAACAGAUGAGAAUCCUAGUCAUUGGCCAAGCAGCAUUGUAACUAAUACAAGUCUCUCUGUGUAUUCAUUUGGGCCUAACUCGGGCAGGCGGCUGUCGUAAAGCUCACACGUGGCAGUGGGGCUCAGGAAGCUUUUGGUGGAAAGAUUUAUCGUAACAUAUACUGUUCAAGGAUUGGAAGACCAAAAAUAACAAAGGGCCACCAGGAGCGAGCAGCUUCCUCUGCCCUGUGCCCCCACUAUAUUUACUGCCUCACUACAGACCCAAGUGCAGUCCGUCCCAGGAUCCUGACCUGCAGCCACCCCGAAGAGCCACACCUCUCAAGUACUGGACCAACUCCUAGGAGUGGAUUGGGAUGAGGAAUCAGAGACUACAAUCAGCAGGGAGUUCUGGUGUUCCUAGAUGCCUUGACCUAGAACAAAUUUCUUCACUUCUUUAAAUCUGUGUUUCCUCUUCUGUGUAAUGAGGACAAUAAUCGUAUUGUUUCCUGUAUGGAGGACUAUUGCACAUUCAAUGGGAAAUGAAUGUCAAGCCCUGCCACAGUUAGCUUUUGAUAACUAUGAUUAUGGUGAGUAUGCUGAAGACUCACAGCCCCGCCCCACCAGGAUGCUUUGAUGACGUCCUAAGACCUUGUCCAGGGGAGAGCCCUGCCUCAAGUCCAGUCUGGACCCUAAUACUCCACACUGGCAGCAAGGCUAUCAUAGCCUGGCAUCCUUGCUGGCAUGCUUGUGUUUCUCCCGCUGACCUGAAGAACUCAACUCCUUCAUCGUAUCCCUCACCGUCUUACUGUAUUCCUUUUCCUUAUUUCUAUAGCCUAAAAGCUUGUUCCAAGGUGCCUUGCUCUCAUUGAAUGCCCAUUGAUGCCUCUGACCAGCACCUUGGCUCCAGCAGUGCUCUGAUUUUAGAGAGGAUGAAGACUAUAUCUGGUCCCCUGAGUGCCCCCAGCCCAGUUUCCAUGAAAGCUGGCUGUGUCUUUGGCCCCACCCUCUCUGUGCUGGAGUUUCACUGUGGAAACACUGCUGUUUGUGGCUGCAGGGCAGCUCACAGGUGGCCUCUACAAACUCUGGAACUGUGCCUGUGUAAGCAACUGCCCAAGAUGAGUUACAUGCAUGAAGCUGCAUUUUCUGAGCCUUCCCUCCUCCUCCCCCCACAUUUCCCCAGAAGCUCUCUCCAUUCUUCCUUCUAAACUUUCCUGUGUGUUGAUGGGACUGACACACAUUUCCAGCUCAAAGUAUUUUUUGUUUUUGUUUUCUUCUUCUUUUUAUCCUCCCCCAUUUAUGGUGGUGCAUUCCUUUAAUCCCAGCACUCAGAAAGCACAGGCAAGUGAUCUCUGUGAGUUCCAGGACAGUCUGGUUUAUAUAGUGAGUUCUAGGCCAGUCAGAGCUACACAGUGAGCCCAUAUCUAAAAACAAAACAAAACAAAACAAAAAGCAAAUAAACAAACUGUCCUAGUUUGAUAAGACAUUCUGACCAAAAGCAACUUGGGGAGGAAAAAAGGUUUGUUUGGCUUGCACUUCCACAUCACACUCCAUCGUUCAGGCUGUUAUGUUUUUGUUUAAAUUAGAUAUAAAGAAAAAGAGGAGGCACAAGGUGAGACAUAUUAACCAAUUUAUUAUGGGCCCAGCAGAGUAGAAGGAGUAAGAGAGAAGAGAAACAGAGUUAAUGGCUGAGCGCCAUGGCCGGUCGCCAUAGAGAGAGAGAGAGAGAGAGAGAGAGAGACAGAGAGAGAGAGAGAGAGAAGAGAAGCAGAAGCAAACAGAGAGAGGAGAAGAGCAGAGAGAGAGCGAAGAAGAAGCAGACAGAGAGCGAAGCAGGGAAGUUGGAACAGGCAAGCCAGAGCAGGAACUCAAGGCAGGAACCUGGAGGCAGGAACUGAUACAGAGGCCAUGGAGGAGUGCUGCUCACUGGUUUGCUCCCUAACUUUCUCAUACAACCCAGGACCACCUGCCCAGGGUAAUAACGCCUGCUAUGGCUGGGCCCUGUUGAGCAUCCCAUAUCGAUUGUUAAUCAAGACACCUACAGGCCCAUCCAAUUUCAGCUCAUUCUUCCCACAUGAUUCCAGCUUGCAUCAAGUUGUUUAAAUAACAAACAAAAACAAACAAAAAACCUAACCAGCAUACCAACAAUGUCAAGUUAUGAAAAAAAAAUUAAAAAACCAACUAACCAACACACACACACACACACACACACACACACACUAAACCUAAAAGAAUAUUUUUAAAUUUCCUAUCUCAAAAACUUGUUUUGAACUUUGGUUUUUUGAGAUAGGGUUUCUCUGUGUAGCUUUGGAGCCUAUCCUGUCACUCGCUCUAGAGACCAGGCUGGCCUCGAACUCACAGAGAUCCGCCUGCCUCUGCCUCCCCAGUACUGGGAUUAAAGGCGUGCGCCACCAACGCCUGGCGUUUUGAACUUUUAUUGAGGUUACAUAUAAGAUAUAUAAUAAGGAACACAGAUUUCAAGACUAUAGUCCAGUGAAAUGUUGCACUUCUCACACACAUGCAUAACUAUACAUAAACACACACAUGUACAUAUAAAAGCUUAUACAAUCUUACUUCUCAGGUUGUGAUACAAAGCAUUUUCAGUGUCCCACAAGUUCCCCCAUGCUCCUUCUCUGUUAAUGUAGCAUCCCCUCACACACAACUUUGAGAACUUUAUCAACACAGGUUGGUUUUUUUUUUCCCCCUGUUUUUAAAAACACCUGAAUGGGACCAGGUAAUACACACUCAGUCACAUGUGUGUGACUUAGUACAUGUCUAUGAAGGUCUUCAUGUUGUGUAUAUCAGCAAGUUUCAAUUGCUGUGUGUUAGUCUGGUGCAUGAAUAUUUCAUUUUUAAUUCUACUACUUAUAGGCAUUUGGGCAGUUUGCAUUUGGGAGCUGUUUGGAAUUAGCUUUCUACGGACAUUCACAUACAUGAUUCAUGUUCACACAUUCUCUUGGCUGUAUACCCAGCAAUAUAAUUGACAGCUCCCAGGGCACACAUAGGUUAGCCAUAGUAGAUAUUGCCAAAAUAUGUUCCAAAAUAUUGCACUAACUUAUACUCCUACCAGUAAGGUAUGAGUGGGUUAUUACUCAAUGGCCUUGUCAACACUUCCUCUUGUUACUCUUAAUUUUAGUCAUUUGGGUGGGUGUGUAAUAGUAUUUCAUUGUUAUUUUAAUUUGUAUCUCCUGAUGAAUAGUGUGUUAAGUGACUUUUAUAUGCCAUUGGCCACUUGGAGAUCUUGUUUAGCAAGGUGCCUGCUUGAAUGUUUCACUCACUGGAAAAGGGCAGAUUGUUUUAUCUGUGUUACUUGUCUCAGCUUUUACUACAUACCCCGGCACUAACCCAUCACCAGGUGUGAGCAUCUUUUCUCUGUGACAUGCUUCUUCCCUCUCCUAAUGCUCCUAGUAAAGACGAGGCUUUUUUCAUGUUAAUAUAGUCUAGUUGAUCUUUUUUUUUUUUUUUUUCAGUGCUUUCAUUAAAGCCAGAGACUUGUACCUGGUAGGCAAGAGCUUUACCGUGAGCCAUAACCUAUCCUCAUACUCGUCUUUACUUAAUUCUCUGUCUUAACUCUCCAGUAGCUUUUAUAAUUUUAUUUGUAUCUAUCCAAAGAUUUCAAUACCAUAUGUCUUCAUGAGAGAUUUUUGUUGUUGUUGAUCCAGUUCAUAACAGAGAGAUUCUUUCAAGUUGAAUGUGCUUAUCCUUCAGCACUGAAGGUUCUCAGCUCCUUAACCAUCAUCUCUCUUGUAGUCUCUCUCUUGGAGCUUUUGAGAGCCUUUUAUUAUAGAUUCCUGGUCUCUUACAUUUUCUUGUAUGCUUUUUAUCUCUCCUCUCUGUAAUCAGUACAUGUUGGAUGUUUUCCUCAGGAAAUCAUUUAUUUAUUUGUUUGGUUUGUAUUUUUAAGUGUGUGUGUGUGCAUGUGUGUGUAUGUGUGUGUGUUAUGUCUGUGUAUAUGUGUGUCCAUGCGUGCAUUCGUGCGUGCGUGUGUGCAUGGGUGUGUGUGUGUGUGUGUGUUGGGAAGUAGCCAUAGAAACAGAGAAUGAUUUAGACACAGAAGUCAAGAGAAAUUCUCUGGAGGAGCAGCAAAGACCACUGAUCACUGUGAAGGAGAAAAAAGAAUAGGGAUGAACAUGGGCUCCUGUCCUGAGUCCCCUGCGGGGACAGAGUUCUCAACCUGCAAGAGAGGAGAGAAUAUGGCAUGAAGUAAAGCAGAGGACUCUACUUCCUGACUGAAAAUCUGACAGGGACACAAGAGACAGAAUGAUACUGAUUACAGAGAAGACACUGGAGUGUGGACCUCAGCCUGGAGCUAAGAUUUUAUCUCUUUGCCUGCCCACCUGUCCUGCUCACCUGUCCAUCUGACCUGCUCUCUUGUCCUUCUGUCCUGCUUUGCCAUGUCAUUCUGGGGAUUAUAAAGCAGUUACGUUCUUGAUUAAGAAGUUCUUUUACUAUAGGAUAAUUUUCACUAAACUCUUUCUUUUCUAGAGUUCUCUUGACCCUUUCUUUCGAGGCACUUCCUGCCUCGAAUUCCCUCAGUGAUGGACGAUCACUUGGAAGUGUAGGAUGAAAUUAUCCCUUUCCUUCCCCAGGUGUUUUUGGUAUUUUAUCACAGCAACAAAGAGCCAACUAGGAUAUGUGGUAAAAUGUGAGUCAUAAAAAAUAUGAGACAGGGUGGGGAGAAGAGGGAACAGCCAAACAGGAAAGCAGAGAAGGCAGAGAAGAGGGAGGAAGCAGAGAGGUGCAGGACACAGGCCAAGAGAUAGGUUAUUUAAUGGUGGUACUACAGGACCCGUGACACUUGAGGCCCAGAAUGACACUGCUAUGGUCAUAGCCCACAUUGCAGCAUGUCUCUGCAGACUCUAGACACUGUAUGUCAGUCCAGGCUGCUACUGGCCAUCCUCCUUAACCUUACAUGUAUCUAGUUAUUACUGUUAACUUGCGGGCAGGGCAGUACAGUGACUUCAGGAUCCCUCAUCCAAAGGGGAUCCUUGGAUCUCAAGUGUAUGACUUAUCACUAACUUUCUCUUCCUUGGACUGAGAGCCCUUGGCUUCAUAUCUCCUCCAUGACAUUGAUCUUUGGUGGGGUCCUUCAUAAGAGACAAGCAGUGAACAUAAGUGGCAACCCUACCCCAGAAAUCACAGCGAUGACCCGGUUUCAGAUUUUUGCUUUGCUGUAGCACCCUCCAAGGUGAACUGAGUUGGUGAAUGAAAUGAAUGCCAACAUGACUGUCAGAGAAAGUGGCUAUUGGAGUGAAGGUAGGACAGGUCUCUUGGAGUCAACAACAGCUUGUGUGACUCAGUCCUUGAGCAGAAGCAGUGUUGAAAGCCCAGCUGGUAGCCAGAAUCCUUAGUUACAGCGGAGCUGCAAAAACAACAGAGAACAACAGACAGCUGACACCCCGCCUAGGUUGCUGGCCACAAAGGUCACCAUUCAGGGUUCAGGGGAGAAAGCCUCAAUGUGAACCCUCUGGAGAGCAAUCUCCUUUCUGGGAAGCUUUGCAUUCUUUGGGGUCCAGAUGGAAGUGCUGGAACCACUCCAAGAGUCUCCCCAAAUAGUGUUUGGGUGAAAUGAAUGCAUAGAAAGUUCUAGGAAGGGCCUUGCACAUCUUCCCUACUUCCCUGGUGGGCUCUAAAGUAUUCUCAAUAGAAACUGUGGGGGCAGAAUAGCAAGGAAGAGGGGGUUAGGAUUUUGUUGAAUCCUCUCCACCAAGGGAGGGAUGCAUUUGUUUAAAUUGAUAUUUGUGAGUCUGGAGAGAUGGCUCAGUCCUCUUCUAGAGGACCUGGGUUUGAUUCCUAGCAUUAAAAUAGUGGCUCACAACUGUCUUAACCCUAGUUACAGGGGAUUGAAGGCUCUCUCCUGGCCUGCAGGAGCAUCAGAUACAUACAUGGCUUGUACAUGACAGGCUAAACACCUAAACACAUAAAAUGAUUCAAAACACUAAAUUUCCACUUGUUCUUUAAGAACUUGCUAAAGAUCCAUCUCCUCCAGUCUGUUUCCUCUGGACUUCUGAUCCUCCCUCCUGUCUCAUGAUGCCCUCUUCUGCAUUCCCGAAGCCUGUGCACAAUAUCUAUUACCACUCAAACCACUCUGUGCUGUGCUUGGCGGUUCUAUUUUUACUCUUUGCCACCUAACCAUCAGUAUCCCUCGGCAGGUCUUACUAGUUGACUUUCUGCUCCAGCUUCUAUGAAGUGGUCCAGCACUCGGGAGUAACAAAUAAAAAUUGAACUGAAUCGUUCUUAGAAACGUUGGGGUGGCUUAUUUUGGAAUUGUGAAAAUUGAUUAUCCUAAAAGUCUCUGCAGGUAAGAAUCAUUUGUAUGUAUGGAUCACAUGUGUAAUUUAAUGUCCCCGACACCUUGUCCAUCAUUGCUGGAACCUCACAAGCUGUGCAGGCAUUUGUGAAGCUAGCCAGGAAUCCCAGGCACGAGUGAGGAGAAAGCCUGCCCUGCAUCUGCCCGUGCACCUGGCUUGCAGAUAUCUCCCACAAAUUAGACAUGGACUAUGUUGCUUAAUUCUUAUCAAUUUGACACACUUGGGAAGAAAGAGUCUCAACUGAGAAAUUGCCUCCAACAAAUUAGCCUGUAGGCAACUCUGCUGGGCAGUUUCUUGAUUGGUAACUGAUGGGGAAGAGCCCUAUCGUUUGUAGAAAGAGCUACUGCUGGCCAAGUGGCCCUGGGUGGAAUGAGCAAGCAAGCUGAGUGAGCUGUGGAAGGCAAGCUAGCAAGCAGUACUCCUCCAUUGCCUAUGCUUCAGUUUCUGCUUCCAGGUUCCGGCCUUGACUUCCUGCUGUGACUUCCCGUCACGGUGGACUAUUAACUGUAAGAUGAAAUAAACCCUUCCUUCCCUAGGUUGCUUUUGGCCAUGGUGUAUAUCGCAUCAAUAGAAAGCAACCAGGACCAGAGCUCUUCAUUCUUGAAAUGUUUUCUCAUUGUGAAUUUCCUUCUGGACAGCUCCCCUCUGGGAUUCUAGAAUUAUCUAAACAGAACACCAAGGGGCCUGAAAUUGCCAUGAAAUAGAAGAACUUGAGAAAUUUUACCAACACCUUCUUCCUCUCAGAACUGCAAGGCAUAGAGUCCUGGCAGAGGUGUUCACUGUGGGCUCUUUGUUGCCAAUACUGGGCAAGGCACCCCCCUCAGCAAGUGAUGGCUGGUACUGUCUGUUGCACCCUCUUUCUUAUCAUUUUAGAAUUGGGGAGAAGAGCUCACAUGUCACACUUAUCUGCAGUUAACAGCUUGCCCUGGAGGCAAGGACUGGGCUGGGCUAAUACUUAGAGGAGGACGGGCAGCCUGAUGAGUAGACACCACAGAGAGAAGGGCAGGGUCAGGGAUGCACUACCUCCUGCCUUGUGAUCUUACUCAGCAUCUUGAUUGUUCAGAGUUGCUUUCAAAGCUCCUGGUUCAUGUGUCCUACCUGCCAAUGCCCUUCCUGCAAAGCCAUGGGGCAGGACAGCCUUGGUUCCACAAGGACUUUUUUUCUCUUUGAAGACAACAAGGGACUGGUAACAUAAAUGAAUAAUAUAAUAAGCCAGGCAUAGGCAGGCUGGCAAAUUUGGACUUUAGACCCUCAAAGCAUCACCCAUGAGAAGAACCAAGCCAAUCUCUAGCAGCACAUCCCAGGAAAGGAGUAGCAGAGAGAUUUCCCCUCAGAGGAACAAUGCAGCUCUGUUCUGCUUGUGUGAUCACCACACAAGUCAACUAAUACCACUGGGGACACAUUUUUUUUUUUACCUUAUUACUAUCAGGAGAAAACAAUAACUGUGCUCGUCAGCUGUGAGCACAGCUGUAAUUUCAGCGUGUAAUUUCUCUGUAAACUCGGCCUCUAAAACGUGCUCUAUAUGAUACCAUAUGCAUUUCUUACAUAUUCUGAGAAUUCUGCAACUGGCAAGAAGGUAAGAGGAGACCUGGGAGGCAGUAAGCAAGCCUUGGUUCCAUUCAUGAACAUGCAGAUCAGCUGGGAGGAAAGAGAGCGGAAAGUAUAGCUUUUCCACUAACCCUCUGCUCACUGUGGGACUAAAAAAUGUACUCAUAUACCUCUGCAAGGAGAAAGAAGACUGAGCUGCACGCUAUAAAUGUAUUUGACCAAUUGUGACAUUUUAAAAAUAAGGUUUUAACUGGUAAAAAAAACAAGCCAGGCAUAGGAAUAGGAAUAGGAAUAGGAAUAGGAAUAGGAAUAGGAAUAGGAAUAGGAAUAGGAAUAGGAAUAGGAAUAGGAAUAGGAAUAGGAAUAGGAAUAGGCUGCCACACAUCCAGUUAAAUCUGUAUUUCAAAUAAACAAAUAGUUAUUUUUUAACAUACUUAUGUCUCAACUAUUGUCUAGGAUAUACUUAAGCUAAAUAUUAUUAUUAUAUAAGUCUAUAUAACUGUACACUUAAAAAUAGUUAAGGUGAGCCAGUGUGAUAGUUCAGCAGGUAAAGACUCUUGUUGCCAAACCUGACAACUUGAGAUUGAUCCCUGAAACCACAUGGUAGAGAGACAAUCAACUCCUGAAAGUUGUCCUCUGACCUCUGCACAGAUGCUGUGCCACACCUGCAUAUGCACACACAGACACACACAGACACAGACACACACACACACACACACACACACACACACACACACACACACGUAUAUAUAAUGUAUAUAUAUGUAUAUUUAUAAUGAAUUCUAAUUAAAAGCAGUUAGGAUGGUUUUAUUUUUUUCUUUCUCUCCAUUUUUAUUUAAAUUAGAAACAAGAUUAUUUUACAUGCCAAUCCCAGUUCCCUCUGCCUCUCCUUCUCCCCUGCCCUCUCCCCUGCCCCCCCACCCCAACUAACACCCUACCUAUCACAUACCCUUUCUGCUCUCCAGGGAUGGUGAGGCCUUCUGUAGGGGUCUUCAGAGUCUGUCAUAUCCUUUGGGAUAGGGCCUAGGCCCACUCCCUGUGUCUAGACUCAGGGAGUAUCUCUUUAUAUGGAAUGGGCUCCCAAAUUCUAUUCCUCUGCUAGGGAUAAGUACUGAUCUACUACAAGAGGCCCCGUAGAUUUCCGAGGUCUCCUCACUGACACCCACAUUCAUGGGGUCUGGAUCAGUCCUGUGCUGGUUUCCCAGCUAUCAGUCUGGAACCAAGAGUUCCCCCUUGUUCAGGUCAGCUGUUUCUGUGGGUUUCACCAGCCUGGUUUUGAUUCCUUUGCUCAUCAGUCCUCCUUCUCUGCAACUGGAUUCCAGUUCAGUUCAGUGUUUAGCUGUGGCUGUCUGCUUCUACUUACCCCAGCUGCUGGAUGAAGGCUAUAGGAUGGCAUAUAAAUCAGUCAUCAAUCUCAUUAUCAAGGGAGGGCAUUUAAGGUAGCCUCUCCUCUGUUGCUUAGAAUGUUAGUUGUAUCAUCAUUGUAGAUCUACAGACAUUUCCCUAGUGCCUGAAUUUCUCUUUAAACCUAUAAUGGCUCCCUGUAUUAUGGUAUCUCUUAUCUUGCUCUCCUCUUUCCCCCAACUCAAACUUCCUGCUCCCUCAUGUCCUCCUCACCCCUCCUCUUCUCCCUUUCUCAUUCUCCAGCUCUCUCUUUCCUCCCCUCAUGCUCCCAAUUUGCUCAGGAGAUCUUGUCCCUUUCCCCUUCUCCAGGGGACCAUGUAUGUCUCUCUUAGGGGCCUCCUGUUUCCUAGCUUCUCUGGCAGUGUGGAUUGUGGGCUGGUAAUCCUUUGCUCUAUGUCUAAAAUCCAUAUAUGAGUGAGUACAUACCAUGUUUGUCUUUUUGUGACUGGGUUACCUCACUCAGAAUGGUUUCUUCUAAUUCCAUCCAUUUACCUGUGAAUUUCAAGAUUCCAUUGUUUUUUCCCCCACUGAGUAGUACUCCAUUGUGUAAAUGUACCACAUUUUCUCUAUCCAUUCUUCAGUUUAGGGACAUCUAGGUUGCUUCCAGGUUCUGGCUAUUACAAAUAAUGCUGCUAUGAACAUCGUUGAGCAGAUGUCCUUGUUGCAUGAAUGUGCUUCUUUGGGGUAUAUGCCUAGGAGUGGAAUUGCUGGAUCUUGUGGUAGAUUCAUUCCCAUUUUCCUGAGGAAUCGCCAUACUGAUUUCCAAAGUGGCUGUACGAGUUGGCACUCCCAUCAGCUGUGGAGGAGUGUUCCCCUUUCUCCACAUCCUCUCCAGCACAAACUGUAAUUGGUGUUUUUGAUUUUGGCCAAUCUGACAGCAGUAAGAUGGUAUCUCAGAGUUGUUUUGAUUUGCAUUUCCCUGAUGGCUAAGGAUAUUGAACACUUUCUUAUGUGCCUUUCAGCCAUUUUAGAUUCCUCUAUUGAGAAUUGUCUAUUUAGUUCUGUACCCACUUUUUAAUUGGAUUAUUUGGUGUUUUGGAGACUAGCUUCUUGAAUUCUUUGCAAAUUUUGAAGAUCAACCCUCUGUCAAAUGUGGGGUUGGUGAAUAUCUUUUCCCAUUCUGUGGACUGCCGUUUUAUCUUGCUGACUGUGUCCUUUGCCUUACAAAAGCUUCUCAGUUUCAGGAGGUCUUAUUUAUUAAUUAGGAUGGUUUUUAAAAACUUCGUGUUACAUCUGAGAGACUAUGGUAACUGGGUGCCCUGCAUUUCUGUGUGCUAACCCGGACCCUGUCAAAGGGAAGGCAGGACAUCCCCUCCUACUCUGCCUUUCAUGCCAGUAUUAUACACAUAGCCUGAAGGACUCUUCUGGAUUUGGAAUUGGAAUCAGGCUUCUACUGAGAAAGGACGAGCCCCAGAGUCUAGGAGGAAGAAGAGAUUCUGGAUCCAGAGCCUGGGAAGCCACAAACCCUGAGGAGGGGCCCACUGGGGUGCCUCAUGGGCCCACAGAGGCUGCCCUCCAGGGAGGGAAGACAGACUGAAUCCCAGGUGCUGACAGAUCCUGCAGGAUGGGCCCUGGCAGAAGCCAGGAAUCAAUGACCUGGAUAUAGCUGUCACCACCUCCUUGCCUCUUGGCAGUUACACCUGGCAGUCUUAAGACUGCAAAGCCAUGCUUAGGUGCUCUUGAAACUGAAGCAAACGUCAGGUACACAGAAAAAUCUGUGCUUAGUCAAAAUACCAGAGUGAGCAAUUAUGUUAUCUGUUGACACGAGGAUAGGCCAUAGGCUUUCUUUAGUUAGUGAACUCCCCUCAUGCAUUUAGAACAGGAUUCUAUUUAGAGAAGGAAGAAUAACAGGAUUGUCACAGCACCAUGAGGAAGGGCAGGGAUGGUGAAAGCAAGUUUGUCUUCUGUGAGGGGAAGGGCUGGAGACAUCUGCAGGGAACUAGGAUGGCUCUGUGUGUGUGUGUGUAUGUGUGUGUGUGUGUGUGUGUGUGUGUGAGAGAGAGAGAGAGAGAGAGAGAGAGAGAGAGAGAGUGUAAGUGAGUGUGUCAGCCAUCCCACUCCUUUCUGGAUCUUCAGAGCCAGUCUCUGUAUCACAGUAACACACAGUCACAUUGUGAGUGUGAGGUAAGGCUGCUGUGAGCUUCAUGUUUGGAUAAGGCAUGCCUGUGUACUGGAACCCUGGUCCCUGUGUAAGGUGGCAAUGUGUGGGAACUCCAAGGGAUGAGUCUAGGAAAUAGCAGUCAGGCCGUGAUCUGUGAUAUUGUAGCACAGAUAAAAAAAGAAAGACCUGUUUAGGGGGCUGACAGGUUAAUACUUGUGGCCAAGCCGCAAUUGUUGUCAGGGUUAGCUACAUUGUAGAUAUGUAUGAAACACACUUACCUUUAGGUUGCUCAUUUAUGAAAUAUUAAAAAUCUCUUACAUCUGUAAGUAAACAUCUUAUUUCAAUGAAGUCUUUAUCCAACACACAGUAGCUGUAUCUAGCGCACAGUAGGUGUUUAGCAUAUUGGUUUCUUUUUCUUCUCUGGGACAUAACAUCUGAAAGAAGCGAUUUCUUUCUUUCUGAGACAGGGUUUCUCUGUGUAACAGUCCUGGCUGUCCUGGAACUUGCUUUGUAGACAAGGCUGGCCUCGAACUCACAGAGAUCCACCUGGCGUCUGCUUCCCAAGUGCUGGGAUUAAAGGCAUGCACCACCACCACCUGGCCAACAGAAGCAAUUAAAGGGAGAAAGAUUUACUUUGACUGAUGUCAUGGUUUUAUCCCUCAUGGUUGCAAGAGAUGGGAGCAGAACUACUUAUAGGACACUGGACCAGAAACAGGAGAAAGGGACCAGACACAAGUCACGUGGUCCUUCCCUUGUGACACACCUCCACCAGCCAGGCCUCUCAACUUCCCAAAACAGCACCAGCAGCUGGGGACCAGAUUCAAAUAUGGGAGCCUGUGAGGACCACUUCAGAUUAGAACCAUAACCUAGUGUUUGUUGAAUGACUAAAGUAAAUGAAAAUUGGGAAUUCAUAGUAUAAAAUAAGACAGAGAUUAAGUACUCAUAAGGAAAAACAAACAAACAAAGAAACAAACAAAAAACUGGUCAACAUCCAUCCCUAGGGAUGUUAUUUUUUCUCCUUUGAAGUUUGGGUUUUCAUUUCCUGACAUGUUCAACUAUGGUAAAAAAUAUUAAAUAGUAGGUUUUUUAAAGAUUUUAUUUAUUUAUUAUGUAUACAACAUUCUGCUUCCAUGUAUAUCUGGACACCAGAAGAAGGCACCAGAUCUCAUAACAGAUGGUUGUGAGCCACCAUGUGGUUGCUGGGAAUUGAACUCAGGACCUCUGGAAGAGCAGCCGGUGCUCUUAACCUCUGCGCCAUCUCUCCAGCCCUAAAUAGUAGAUUAUAGAAACAAAAUAUUCAUACAUUUCAGAUUGCAUUCUGUACUGAAUAAUGGGAUGAGGUCUUGUACCAGCCUACUGUCCUGCACAGGAUGUGAAUGGCCCCUUGUCAGUGUGCCCAUGCUGCAAGUGCCACCUGCCUGCUAGCCACUUGGCACACGCCUCCAUCAGCUAGAUGGCCUGGUCUCUGGGUACCUGUGCUCAGGGCAUUCUUAAUGUACCCCGUGACGACCCAGAGUGCAUAACUAAUGUUGCCAGUGACUCAGAUCUGCCAAAGAGAGCCUGGGAAGUGAAAAUGCUAAGGCACAAUAAGAUUGUAAACAAACAAAUAGUUCUAGCCAGGUUUCAUUGUGAGACUCUGGCUACCUUGCACUGUCGACCAGGCUGGCCUUGAACUCAGAGAUCUGCCUGCCCCUGCCUCCUGAGUGCUGAGAUUAAAGACAUUUGCUACCAAGUCCAGAAUCAUAAGAUAUUGAGAGAGAGAGAGAGAGAGAGAGAGAGAGAGAGAGAGAGAGAGAGAGUCCAUGUAACUAUUGCUUUAUUGUUUUCUUAGUUUCAUUUCUUUUAUAAUAAGAUACCCUGGGGAAAAGCAGCUCUGGGGAGAAAGAGGUUUAUUUCAGCUCAUAGGUCACAGCCCAUCGUUGUGGGAAAGUCAAGGCAAACACUUCAGCUAGUCACAGCACAUCCACAUCAGAAGCAGAGGAAAUGUUCACAUGCUCACUUGCUGUGCCCAGUUCUGUUUCUCCACUCUUACACAGUUCUGGACCCCCUGCCUAGGGAAUGGUACCAUCAACACUGGGCUUAGUGUUUCCUCCUCAAUUAACUUAAUUAAGACGACCCUGUGCAGACAUGCCCACAUGUGACCCAAUACAAACAAUCCUUCCUGGAGCCUCUUCCAGGUGACUCAAGGAUGCAUCAAGUUGACAUCUCACUAAAUAUGACAAUUGUCAUCAUCCUUUUACUUUACUAGUUAUUUUUUUACCCCAGUAUGUACUUUCAUGGGAAAACGGCAUACAGAGGGUUGAGACCCUCUGUGGUUCUAGCCAUCUACUGGGACCAUGCCCCUGAGAACAAAGAGAACCACUGUAGUUUCAGGAAAAUCAUAGUCCUGGGUUUCACAUCCUUUCAAAUCAAAAUGCACUGAUCAGCACUGAGCUAAACCAGCUGCCCCUCCUCCCAGAAGUCAGAGAAGCCGAAUCACUGUGUGUGUGUGUGUGUGUGUGUGUGUGUGUGUGUGUGUGUGUGUGUGUGUGUGUGUUGGGGUUGGGGGACAAGUUCAAGAAAGUGAUUGCAAUGAAAGCUCCCAGCCCCGUUGCCAGCUGUCUCAUGACCCCAUGCCUACAGUGGCACCAGCUCUCCUGUGGGCAGCCUGGUUCUGCAGCUGGCUUCCUGCCCUGCUCUCCCUGAAGCAGGCUCUCACAGGGAUUAUUGCCGGGCAGCUUUCUCCCUUCCUGGAUGUGAGAGCCACUGCCGGCCCUCUGCACUCUCUUGGGAAGGCCCCACCCAACCUGUAGAGUUCCACAAAGCUUUCUGGAGUGGAGCCUAGGGAAACCGAGGUAGUGACUGACCCCAGGACUGACCUCUGGAGGCUGGGCCCUGCAAGUAGAUCCCUCUGCUUUCCCUGACACAGCAGCAACUUUUGGCCCAUCCAGCCCAAAGAAGGUAUUGCUGAUGCCGGGUAGAACCCCUGACCUGGACCCCUCUAAGACAAACAUGCAUCCAGUCAAGACCUGGGCCAAAAGGAAGACACACAUAGGUGAUCACAGAAGACCUUGACCGUGUUUAUUUGCAGGCAGGGGAUGACACUGGAAACCCCGAGAUGCAGAAGGUACUUGCUACUUAGGCUGAUGACACCACGGCGAUUUGGAUGAGACUAUAAUCAUUAGUACAUCUUACUGCUUCACAGGGCGAUGAGAUAGGAAACAGAACCCUGCUCAAUGGCUUUCAGCUGUACCUGGGCUCUUGUUUAUAGGUGCGCGUGUGCGUUUUCUCAAGCUUAAACUUUCAGAGUUAUGUAACCCUUCCCCUUGGCUAGCCACCAGACUUCCAGAUUAGCUGGAGGUUUCCUGUGCAAGUUGGGAGUUGGCAUGGGCAGAGCCAUGUGACCGUGGUGCUUCCUGGGUCUGGUAGGGGCUGCCCUGUAAGGAAGGGCCUGUCUGUGUUGUGGGUCAGAAGAUAAUAUCUAGCAGGCAGAGUAUGAUUCCUGACCCAGAAGAAUUCAGACCAGCAGUCAUUGUCAGUUCUCAAGCUGGAGCCAUCUAAAGUUAGAUGAGAAAAAAAAAAAAAAAAAAAAAAAAAAAAAAGACCCAUGCAUUGGUAGGAACUACUUAAAAGAAAAUAAAACAUUCCAGUUAUUCAAGGUCUCAUGUAAAUGGUGGUUCAACACUGUCUGGACAGGAGCUCUGUGGUUCCUGGAAGCAGUGUGUGGUAGAGCUCAGGUCCCGAAGGCCUCCCCUUCCUGUUGUCUAUCUCCUUCUAGCCACUGAUGAAUACCAGUGCUCUGGCUCCUUCUGUUGGGGUUUUGAUAUGGUGAGAGGGAGAUGAUGUGUCCACCAGACAUUCCAAACCUCUGUGUGUGGUGAUUCAUUUUACAUGGCGUCUUGGCCAAGGUGUCCAGAUGUUUGGUUUAAGCUCAUUCUGGGUGUGUCUAUAAAGAUAAAUUUGGGCUGUUUUAUUUCAUUUUGUUUGGGAUGAUACUAACAUUUAAAUUGUUGGACUUGAUGUAAAACUCUGUUUGUUGUUUAUAGCAUGGGUGGGUCUCUUCCAAUCAGUUGCAGGCUUUAGCAGAACAAAGCUCUAAGGAGGAACUCUGCCUGAAGACUGCUUUGGAGUUGUGUGACUUUUCCUGGGGAAAUGUGAACCAAUGUCUAUUAAUUUAGAUAGGGCACUGACAACUGACCAAAACAAUGCUUCCACUGAAGUCCAGCUUGGAGUUUGUUAUCGUUACUUACAGGAGUAUUGGUAAGGCGCUACUUACUGAAGCAUGGCUGACUCAAAGGCAUCUGCACCACCGAAAAGCUCCCCACAACACAAGACAUAGCCCUGGAGCUCCCUGCCCAACUUCUCCCCAGCAAUGACUGCUUAUAUAACCUUAUCUUUUAAGUUUCAGGCACAUUCUGAGAAUUUUGAGUUGUUUGCUUCCUCAACCUUGUAAGUUUUGUUAAUUUCCUGAGUCUGAAGGAGCCUCCCUUCUGAAUGGGAAGUUUCAAUUGGAAGGAAAUUACUAUACAGCAGGGCUCUGACUGAAACUCUUCCCAGGGUAUCCAGCUCCCACCCACCCCGAAGGCUUUGGACUUGAACCUCCUCCAUCAUCUGAGCUAACAAGAUAUUUAUUUAUAAAUAUUCAUAACCUAAUAGAUAUGUAUGUAUAAAUGUCUAUACACAUCUGAUCCAACACACACACACACACACACACACACACACACACACACACACACACACAUUCAAGUACCCUGAUGAAGGUGAACUAUCACGUUUCCUCUAAAACACAGAUUAGCUUGGCCUUCCAGCUUCCCAGGAACCUCUCUGACUCCUUUCCCUAAAAUUCCCAGUGAAAGGCUGUAGAACCACAAAACACCAGCCAGGCAAGUUCCUCCAAACACAGAGGUCCAUUAGGCAUUCUUGCUUCUUUGCCUUCUUAGAGUACAGAGAAAGACAGCCCCAGCACAUGGGGAGCACAGGAAUUUUGCAAUCCAAGGGAAACAUCAAGUGCAGGACUUUCCCUGCCACUCUGAUAGUAUCCCCUUUCCCUAUUUAUACUGAGAACUCAACCUGGACCCUCACACAUGUCAGGUGAGAGUUGAGCCACUGAGCCAAUCCCCAGGCCCAUAGGGUCCCAUUAAAAGUGCCACUCACAGCUGGGCAGUUGUGGCACCCACCUUUAAUUCCAUUAUUUAGGAGGCAGAGGCAGAAGGAUCCCUGAGAGUUUGAGGCCAGCCUGGUCUACAGAUCGAGUUCCAGGACAGGCUCCAAAGCUACAGAGAAACAAGUGCCACUCACUUAAAGAGCCACCAUGUGGUCCUGGGAAGAGGACACCAGUGGAAGGCAUCCUUGAUAAGAUAAGUCUUAUAAAAUAUAUAGAUUUAUGAUAAUUAAGACUGAGCUAGCAUAUAAGAAAUCCUAGUCAAUUGGCCAGGGCAUUGUAAACUAAUAUAAGACUCUGUGUGUUAUUCUGGGUGCCCUCGUGGCAGCGGGGUUCAGGCGGAUGGAGUAAAGACUUAUCGUUACACACAUGCAUAUGUUCAUAUUUUUUUUUGUUUGUUUGUUGGGGAGGUUGUACUGGGGAUGGAUCCCAGGGCCUUAGGUAUGGUAGACCACUGAAUUACAUGCUCACCGUGAAUGUUAUACUUUAUUAGCAGUUCCCAUUUGAUAUAAAUGAGGCUUUGUUUCUGCUAUUUCACUAUUCUAGACUCCACAGCACGGGUUCAGAGCUGUGACAAAAAGGACUGAGAACAAUAGAAGGAAAAAGGGAUUUAGUUUGACACUUGGUUUCAGAGAUUUCAGCCCAUAACCCUGGCUCUGUAGGUUCUGGAGCUGUAUGACUCAGAACAUCAUGGUGUCGAGAGGCUACUGGUGCUGAGCUAGAGGCAGAGACAGCUGUAGUGGUCAGAGGUACACCCCAGUGGCCUGCCUUCUCUAGUGAGCUCCCUAAUGUUUCCACCAUCUCCACAAACAGUGCCACCAGCUGGAAACCAAGACCUUGACACAUGGCCCCAUGGGGACAGUUCAUAUUUCAACCCUAGCAAUAUCUUUUGGGUAUGUGACUGAUUAUCUACUUGAAGAGAGAUUCCUAGAACUUAGAAUGUUGGGUUAGAGGGUGUGGUAGUUUGGAGGAAAAUGGCUCCCAAAGGAAGUGGCACUAUUGGGAGGUGUGGCUUUGUUGGAGAAAGUGUGUCACUGUGGAGGCUGGCUUUGAGGUCUCAUAUACGCUUAAGUUUCACUCAGUGUGAUACAGAGUCCCCCUUCCUGUCGUUGCCUUCUGAUCAAGAUGUAGCCAGCACCAUGUUGGCCUAUAUGCUGCUGUGCUCCCUGCCACGAUGAUAAUGGACUGAACCUCUGACACCGUAAGCAAGACCCCAAUUAAAUGUUUUCCUUUAUAAGAGUUGCUGUGGUCAUGUGUCUCUUCACAGCAAUAGAAACCCUAACCAAGAUAGAGGGAAAUUUUAUUUUUAAUUUCGAUGUAGGUUGUGUUUUAUUCUGUCCUGAAGAGUUUAACUUCAGCAUCAGCACACAGAAGUGUCUACUUCCCCAAAUGCUUGCCAACACUGGGCUAGGAGAUUCUUUUUAAACUUUGCCAAUCUGGUGAACCAGUAUACAUAGGAGCCUUUAUCUGUUGUUUUUGAUGACUUGGGAAAUUGGGCACCGUUCUUAUAUCCAUUGGCCACAUCUCUUCUUGUGUCCUUUUUGAAUCUUUUCUGAAAGGGCAUUCUUGUUUCAUUUCUCACUUGUGAAAGAACUUUAAUUCUUUAAAAAAAAAACAAACAUAUAUUUUUACUUAUUUUUUGGCAGUAUUGAGUGUGACCCAAGGCCUUGGGUCUGCUAGGCAAGUGAAGUACCACUGAGCUGUACCCUCAGACCUUACCCUUCCAUAAUGCAUAGUUCAGCAGUGGGGACACCACUCACAUUACCCCUCUGUGAAUGCAGUUAAGUCAUGGGGAUACACUCACAUUCUUGUGAAACAAUUCCUUAGGACAUAUUCAUCUUGUCAAACUAGAACUAUAAGCCCACUGAACAAUAACUGCCCAGGCCCUUUCUUCUACCCCUGGUGGGAACCAUUCUACCUUCUAGCUCAGAAUUUGACUCCUCUGGCAUUGCGUCUAAGCAAAACCAGACAGUGUUUGUGUAGUUUGAGGCUGAAUCUUUUCACUUAGCACAAUUUCCUUAGAUUUAUCCAUGUUGUAGUAUCAGAAGUUCUUCCCUUUUUUUUAAAGGGUGAAUAAUUCCUGUGUGUGUGUGUGUGUGUGUGUGUGUGUGUGUGUGUGUGUGUGUGUGUGUCUGUGUCUGUGUGUGUGUGUGUGUGGUGUAUGUGUACUGUGUGUAUGUGUGUGUACACUCAAGUGCAUGUGUAUGGCGCUGUGCCCAUGUGGAGGUCAGAACGCAAUCCUCUUGAAUGAGUUCUCUCCUUCUACCAUGUAGAUCCAGGGGAUCUAACUCAGUUUGUCAAGCCUGGAAGCAAGCUCCUUUACCCAGUGAGCCAACCCACACAUCAUUUUAGCUUUCACGAAAGAAAGCUUUUCUAUUGAGUAUAUCUUGGAAUAUAAUUACUCAGUCAUAGGUAUGUAUAUGUAGUUUUCUGAAGUCACAGGCUUUGCACAGCUUCCCAGACUGUAUGGGAAUCCUAUAUACUCAUCCACAAUGAACUCUUCUGCGGGUGGGCACUUUGCACUGGAGUGGAGCUGACCCUAUUUCAGUUGCGUGUUGGCUAUUUGUAUAUUCUCUGGCGGUGUGUGCUAAGUUGUUGUUGUUGUUGUUGUUGUUUUAAAUAGUGUUCCCCAUUUUUUCCUUGGCAACUUAAAGGGCCUCUCCUCUCCUCUGUGUGAAUGAGUCCUUUGUCAGAACCAUGAGUUUCUGUCAUCAUGGCUGGCUCUCCACUCUUACAAUGGCUUCUUCCAGUAGGCAGACAUUCUUCUUCUUAAUGGAUUCUAAUUUAUGAAUUUUUGUUAUGGUUCUCACAUACAUUUAAGAGUCUCAUAGCCUCCACUAUUGCUGAGACACUCCUGUGUUCUGUUUGAAAACAUAAUCAACCUCCUUUUCCUGUUUUACAUCGACAAACCCAUGUGGAUAUUUAUUUUACAUGUAUUUAUUAGUCUAUAUGCAUGCUUGUGUGCACAGGUGCAUACCAUGGUGUGCAGUUGUGGAGGUCAGAGGACAACUACCCAGAGUCAGCUCCCUCCUUCCACCCUGUGAGGCCUGGUGACCUAACCCAGGGCUUCAGGCCUGGCCCCCAGAGCCUUUACCCACUAAGGCAUCUUUCUGGCCCUAGAUGAAUUGGGGGGGGGGGAAAUGUUGUUGAGACAGGGUCUUGCUACAUUGGCCAGGCUGGCCUCUAACUUCUGGACUGUAGUGAUCCUCUUGCUUUCAUCUCUGUGGUAGAUCAUAUUACAGGUGUACAACAUGACCAGUUUGGGGCUUGCUGUGUUUGUUUGUCUUUAAUGAUUUUGGAGAAGAGAUGAAGAGGGUUCAUUUGUUUAUUUUUGUUUAUUUUGGCUCUUUUACCAUAUAGUUUUUCCACAGCACCUUGUUUGUCAUCAGCCAAGGGGCCUGGCUGGUUUCUACAGUCUCCAUUCUGUUCCAGUCCUCUUUCUCAGGAGUGUUCAUGCCUCAGACUGUUCCCACAGACAACUUUCUGAGGGUCAGCCUGUCAUUUUCAUGUGCAAACAAAGGAGAACAAAGCCCAGAUCACCUGAUAGGGAUGAUGUUUGUGAUCUGCAUUGAAUCUGCGGAAUGGUUUGGGGAGAAACUGAUAUUUUUCCCAUAUUAUAUCCUGCAAUGAUUCAGAUAAUCCUUGGAUUUCAAAUUUUCUUUAUUGUUUUCAAAUAGUUUGUUGCUUUCUACAUUGCUUGAUAAUAUUUUAUUUUAUUUAAGUCUAUCUAAAAUGUUAUCAACUUUCAAAUUUAAUUUCCCAAUGAUUUGUUGUGACUAUUAUGAAAGAAAAAUGAUUGACUUCAUAGCAAGAAUCUUAUUGUUUCCCAGACUUAGGGUGGGACUUCCCACCUCGAAAGAUCCAAUCAAGAGACUCCCUCAAAAGCAUGCCCAACUGCUUGAGUUCUAGUUGACUCCAGAUGUAAUCAAGUUUACAACCACACCUUGUGUGUGCAAAAUGGUGCAAGCUCUUAGUGAUGUCAGUGUUUCCAAAGAUGAUUUGCUUAGCUUCUUCUGGGUAAAGGGAAAAAGGCUUUAAUGCGGUUUGAAUAAGAAUGUCCCCCUUAGGCUCACAUAUUUGAACAAUUGGUUUCUGCUGGCGGUGCUAUUUGGGGAGGUUGUAGAACCUUGAAGAGGUGGAGCCUUGCUGAGGGAAGCAUAUUACUAAGGAACUGGCUUUGAAGUUCAUAGUCUGGCCCCACUUCCGGUUCUUUUUCUCUACUUCCUGUCAGCUUCCUGCUGCCUCCAUGCUUCCUCCUCUUCCCUGCCAUAAUGAUCUCUAUUCCUCUAGGACUGUAAACAGAAAUAAACCCUUUCUUCCUAGAGUUGCCUUUGGUCGUGGUGUUUUUAUCACACAAUGGACAAGGAAGCAAUACAACCUCUUGAUAAUCUAAUUCAAGAUCAAUCUGUUUCAGGUUUCAGGUUGGGUUCUAGUCUUUGCAAAAUCUUGCCCACUUCUGAUUUGUCCUAAUCCAAAGUUGAAGCCUCCCAGCGGUCCAGUGAGAACCCAGGAUCUUCACACAGCUCUCCAACAUCAAGACCCAAUGAGGCUGUCAGUGACUCUGCUCCUGCCCCCAACUGCCACUUACUACUAAGCCUCCCUACCUUCAAGGUUUAUACUGCUUAAAAUGUCACAAACAUCUGCAGGUAAAAAGCCACUCAGACUUUCAGGCUGAAUUCUCUUCCUUUUUUUUUUUUUUUUUUUUUUUUAUUAGCUUUCGAUAUGGCUUCAAGUUCUGUCUUCCAAAGGACCCUUGAACACCAAUUUCUGCUUUCUCAGCCCAUGAGGUGCUGAAAGCUAAACCCAGCUAGUCUGUCUUCCAAUUGUUCACACUCCCUCUGACCAGCAAUAUCCAUUGAGAGGGAAACUUAAGGGAAUGCUGAGUUCAUCAAACCUCUUGAUCUGACUUCUGCAUUUCCUGAUUUUAUGACUUUGUAGCUCUUUGAUAUCUUCAAAUAAGAGUCCAUCUUAUUUUACUCAUCUAUCUGUCUGUCUGUCUAUCUAUCAUCUGUCUAUCUGUCUGUCUGUCUGUCUGUCUGUCUGUCUGUCUGUCUAUCUAUCUAAGUUCUCAAGAUAUAGCCCUGGCUGGCUGAUCUGAAACUCACAAAGUUCCACCUGCCCCUGCCUCUGGAAUGCCAGCAGUAAAGUGUUUGUGCCACCAACCCCUCCCCCUUUCAUCUUCAACUUUUAAACUUGAGUUUGUUACUUCUUCUGUAGAUUCUGUUUUAAUGAUGUCAUUACUUGUCCCAUCUCUGGUCACCAGUGUCUAACCUAAGUGAUGCUAACAUCUCUCUCUUCACACUUGUUUUUCUUUCAUUCUGAAUGCUCUUGACAAAGAUCACCAUAUUAUUAUACCUGGGUAAUAUAGGCCCACAGCAACUGUUAGGACUCAUCAUUGACUGAACACCACCGCCAUGUACACUUGCAUAGAUAUUUUUUCUUUUAUUUUUGUCUUAUUUGUAGUGCUUAGUACCUUUACCCAUGUUAUCAUCUUGUUGGCCCUUGGGUUUUUGUUUCUACACCCUUUAAUUUGUUUGCCUCACUGACACUAGGCUAAUGUUGCUUAGUAUCUACCAACAGAAGAACUAAGCCAGAUUUAGUAAAACUACCUGCUGGUUACUUUGAGAUUGUUGACUGUGAAAUUCAGAGCUCUUAUCUGAAUCCAAGUCCUUUGACUCUGGCUUGAGAUUCUGUACUCCCUGGCUUUAAUUCAAUCACAUACCCUGUGUCUCAGUUACACACACUGCCAUUUUUCAAGCUGUGUCCUGCAACACAAUAGUGACCUUCAGGAAGUGAAUACUGUCCCUUGAUAAAAAUGUACUGUGGUAAUUGAAUUUAACCAAAGGCAAGUAGUUCUCUUGCACAACCUCUCAAAGCCUUUACUAUUCUGAAAUAUAUGUGUGUGUGUGUGUGUGUGUGUGUGUGUGUGUGUGUGUGUGUGUGUGUGUGUGUGUGAGAGCCUUCAAUUGAGAGGAAAAUUAUAUGCUAUUUCUCAACACUGUUUGAAUAUGAAUCCCAUUUAAGGGGCCACCACUUAUCUCACAAGAUGCCACUGUUCCAAGGAACACAUUUUUAGAUGAACAAACACAGACACCUCUUUAUUCCCCAAACACUCACAUUCUCACACAGGCCUCUCAGAUAGGGGCUGCAUUUCUCCAUCAAGGUUGCCCUCCAGGGCACAUUUAGCAAUCAUUCUGGCUAGUACAGUGGGAAGCACUACCUAGUGUGUUGGAGCCAGGGUUGUGGCUACACCUUCUAGCAUAUGCAGGACAUAUGAAGUCCCCAUAGUCUGCUCUGUCCCCAAGGACCUUUACUGUGUGAACAGGUGUGGUCCUCACCUCCCAUUCCACCAAUUCACAAUUUUCAUUGUGUAGUGACAUGUUUUUUUGUGGAAAUAUGAAAACAUACCUUCUAGGAUUUUGUAACGUUUUCUGGUGUUUUCAUUUCUGGAUGAUACAGUAGUCAUAGUUUAUAUUUUGCCAAAGCUACUUUGCACAUGUUAGAAGUAAUCAGAAAUAUUUAGUCCAUAUUAUCCAAUGUCUUAUGAACAUGGACGUGCCUUUAAACGACGUUUCUUUUCUUAAGACUUGCACCCACAUUGGAGGGUCCCUCAUGGCUGAAAAGAAAUGCAAGCAAAGCUGUAGUCCUGGGUUUUACCUGAGUUAGACAGGAGCAGAGCAAAGAGGCACCAAAUACCAGGCUCCUGGAGAAUUCCUUUAAACAGAGUAACAACAAUGGGACAUUAACGUUUUAAUUAACAACUUUAAUGGCUAACCCCAAAUAACCCUCCUGCUUUGGAAGGAUUAAAUUUCAUUUGACAAAAUCAUUGAUGCAUGUGGAAAGAAGUCUCAUGUGCCAAUUACACUACACCAGGGGCUCAGGGAGGCCACGGCUGGGGGAACUGCUGUCCCCGGACCAGUGAAAACAGCCCUGCUCCUGAAGUCAGGCUCUUAAAACCAAUCACAAGAAGCUGGGCAUCAUGGCAGGCCUACUGGGAUGAUGGAGAGGAACCCACCCUUAACCUCAAUUAACAAGCAACUUUAUUUCCUUGUGUGUUUCAUUGACUCCUUGUCCACCUCCCUCCAUCUCUUUUCCACUCUUGAUUUCCCCCCAAGCCAUUAGAGAUUCAGUAUAUUUAGAUGGUGCCUAAUUUAUAAUCCAAAUAUCGCUGUGAGAAAUUAAAGAAGACACAGCAGGAAGGUAACGCUGCUAUUGAGUCGAAAGCAUCGAUGCUAUUAAAAUGUCCAUACUACACAAAGUGAUCUACAAACAGUGUCGUUGCUGACAAAAAUCCUUACUAUCGUGGUUUAAAAAUGAUGGUUUUUCUUUCUUUCUUUAAUUUGCUGUUUUAUGAGUUUUAAUUUUGUGUAGGUGUCUAUGUCUACAUGCGGGUAUGUGAGCAUGCAGCCAGAGACUUUGGGUCCCCUGGAGCUGGAGUUACAGUUGUGAGCCACCUGAUGUCGAUGUCAAGAACUAAACUCAGGUCCUCUGGAAGAGCAGCACAAACUCUUAACCGCUGAGUCAUCCCUUCAGGCUCUAGUUAUUUUUUAUUUUUUAUUUAAUUUAAUUAAAAAUAUUUUGGGUGUGUAUGUAUGCAUGUGCUUGUGUGUGUGAGCACCUGCUUGCUUCAGGUUUUAUAAAGGUUUUAUAAAGAUCAGAGGUCAACUUUCAGGGGUCAGUUCUCAUAACCCACCUUGUUGGAGGCAGAAACUCUUCUGUUUGUGAACUGUAGUGACUACUUCAGGCUAACUGGCCAUUGAGCUUUCAGAGGGGGUGGUUCCCCUGUCUCAGCCCCCCACCUCACCAUAGGAGUGCCGGGUCACACAUGCGUGCUACUGAAUCCAGCUGGUACAUGUGGGUUCUAAGGAUCCAAAACUCUUACCCACGAGCCACCUUCCUAGCCGCCAAAUUUUCAACAAUGAUUUCCCACACAUUUACUAGCCGAUGUCCCACACGUCUCUGUCAGUAAAAACCUUUCUUCUCCUGUUUGCUGCAUUGUUAAUUCAUCCACUUCUGGAGUAUGAACUCACAGAUUUUUUUUUAAAUUGUGAAACAAAUGUUUAUUGGAAUUUUUCAAAUUAGUUGUACAAUUAACUCAUGGUAAGUUACCGGGCAGAUUUUAUAUUAUUUCUUUAAGACUACCGUUUCUCAGUGACUUCAAACUUUAAGUUUUCAAAUUUGAAGGUAGGAGAAGCUCUGCUCAGCUCUUGCUACUACUCUGGGGCAGUAGCAGCAGGUUCCCUAAUGUCUGGCUUUGAUACGGACUCUCUUACCCCAUCAGUGAUGAGUUUCUCUACAGGAACAAUUUCCUUAUUAAAUACUACUGCCAUCACACAAAUGUUCCUCAACAAGUGCUCAGAGACAGCCCAGCAAAGGACAGUGGAGAGCCCUCAGAGCCUCAGAAGACCAGUGUCCUGUGGUGCUUGCACUGAGUCCUGAUCUGCCACAGGUGCCACCACAAUUCUAGACAUGUUUUUUCAAUGGCUUAGAAUUCACUUCUUCCCUCCCCAUGUUGGUGCUUAAGUUGCUCCAGGACUGGCUGGUAGAAGCCCCCUCCUCUGUUCUUGUACUUGCCCCCUAUCAUGUUUAAAGUUCUCACUCAGUGUAUGACAAAACAACAUUUAGCCAAAGAAAGGAAAAAAAGAGAAAGCCAUGGGAGAGGUAGAGAGAGACAAAGAGGGGCUAUGUGAGGAGAUUGACAGCACAGGGGCAGACUAGGGGCCUUCUGUGAGAAGCGGCCCGUCCACCAUGACUUAAAGGCCAGAGUGCUGCAUAUGAGAGGCAUUGGUGGCUCCUGCACUCUGACACCAUUCUUGACAGUUAUAAAUGAUGCAGGCACAACCCAAGAGGGACUGGGGAGUGGAGAGGGGAAUGAUCCUCAGUUUUUGGCAUCCAUUCAAGCAUCUAGACACAACUUUAUUUGAAAUGAUUCCAUAUUUUUCAAUUGUAUAUACAUGUCUGUAUAUAGUAUACACAUAAAAAUAUAUGCAUAUAAUAUAUAUUAUACAAGUAUAUCACACACACAUAUAUUUGGUCUAAUGUAUAUUUUCAUUCUUCGUAUGCCCUCCACCCCCAGCUCUGCUCGACUUUUUACUGUGUUGACCUUGUUUUGGCUAGCCUCUUCUCCCAAGGAAGCAAGAGUCCCUCCUGAGCAAUUCUAUAUUAACCAACAAAAAGAAGCCUCUUUGCCAUGGCUGGGACAAAAGUCCUUCAGUGUCUGUGACUAGCUCAGAGCCUUUCUACACCUGGUUGGGUAGCACUCUCCUGAGCCAGGCCUGGGCUAUGAACUCUCCUGUAGAACAGGAAGUGUGGGUGAAGCCUGCCAAAACACACAGGCUGGAAGCACAGAGAUGGCCAGCUCACCCAAGAACUCUGGAGUGCACUUACCACAAUGAGAAAGGAAAAUUUGGAAACCUGACUGAAAAAAUCUCAUGCAUUGUGUGGGGAACACCGGGCAUGAUGACUGUGAGAUUGGCUGAUAAACCAAGGUGUAGCCAUUUUGUCAGGACAGCCCUUCCUCCCUCUGCACAAGACCCCUUAUAAGAAAGAAGCCCCUGAAGCACCCUUGGAGAUUGAAGCCCCUGUCCAUCUGUCCUUGCUGCUGGCCUGGGGACAGAUGACAGAACUGCCAGAGAGAGGAUGAAAAUAGGUCCAGCCCUUCUUCCUAAGGAAGCUUUCCAUCAAGACGGGCUCCUGUUUCAUCAUUUUCUCCUCUGCCUGGCAGGUCCCACAGGGACGUGUCUGUCACAGUGCUGUGUUACGUCAUGUCAGAUGGCAAUCGAAGGAGCUGUUAACUUAAGCUGACAGAGAGCUGUGGCAAUCUGCUUAUCUGGCUGCCACCCUCACUGAGUAAAGGGCCAUUAUCAGAAUUAUUCACACAGUGUUACAGCAGCUGCAAGUCUACAUUACAUCACCCUCACUUUAGUCACUCAGCACAAAUGGGACCUCAAAGGAGACUGCCCCCCCCUCCAUGAGAGGCCACCCUUCCCCUACACACCCAACAAGAAUGUGACAUCACAUUAGGUCAACCUCCAGUGUGCCUUUCUGUGCCCAGGAUCUACCUUCUGUGUUCCUUCCACAGGUGUGAGCAGUCACACAUGAGACCCCUGUUGAGAUGCCUUCCAAUUAGACCUGUUCUUGGAAUGGUCCUUCCAAUGCUGGUGUUCAGUGGUCCAAAGCUAUUCCACUGACCUGUAAACUUCAGACUGGUCUUCCACAAGUGCUGUGUGUUUCACACAAGGAUUGCAAAGGAGAAAACACAAUGUUCUUAGGUCGAGGCUCUUUCAAGAGUCCAUAGACCCUCCCCAGCUUGCUCACAUGAAGCCAACCAUGAUCUCCACCCUGGACACACCCCUCCUACGCCUCCUCCUCCAACAAGCCUCCACCUGCAAGGCAAACACACUCAAAGUUCACCCGACACACGCACAUUCCCAUGCAAACCCAACAAAAUUGAUGGCAGAAACUGUGGGAAAGAGGCAUGAAGAGAGAAUGUGGUUAACAAGGUGGGUUCUGAGGCGUGGGCUUCUUCAUUGCUACAAUCCAAUAAUAACAUGAAAGAAUAACACAGACUGAACUGGAAGGCAAGCAGGGCAGGAGGAAGAUCAAGGAUUAGAGGGGAUGGUAGAAAGUCUCUUUAAUCUGUUUACUGGCUUAGUCUCAAAACAUGUUUCAAAGUGCAGCUAUGUCCUAUAUUAAACAACACUUCAGAGCCGGGUAGCAGCUCUCACCUCCCCCCCACCCCCCGGUUUGCCUGCCCCAGAAAACAGUGCCUUCGAAGAUGUCUUCUCUCAUUGGCUCAGGGUGGACAUCUUAAUGUUCAUGUGACAUUUCCUAGGUGUGUCUCUGUGUCCCAACUACCCCCUUGGAUACAGAUACCCAGCCUAAUCUGAUUAGGGCCUACCCUGGUGACUUCAUUGUGAUUCGAUCACAUCUGUAAAGACCAGAUAUCCAAAUAAACUCGCUUUCUGAGGUACUGAGGCACAGUGGACAUCAAUCCAGAUCAAGGGGGUGUGGGUAUGGCACAGAUCCGGCCAUGAUGCUCUGGUUUCCCAACCUGGUACUGACACAUCAUCACUUUUCCUUCAAGUCUUUUCAGUGUCUGAAUACAUCCGACAGACUGCCAUCUAUAGCUUAUGGGAAGAUCUUGAAAUGGGAGGCAUCAUGAGACCAAAGACCUGGGCUUUCUCUCCCUCAAGAUCUUAAAGCUACUGGCUGCUGAAGGCCGGAAGGAGUUCUGAGCCCCUCAAGGCUAUGAAGUGCCCCAGUAGAGGUCUUCUUUCUUCAGGUCUCCUCAGCUGAACUCUGAGUAGUUUGUGGCUAUGACAACUGUCCCACAAGGAUGUUUGUUUUGGCGACUUUCUGUCACUAUGACAAAAUACCCCCAAAUAAGCAACUUACAAGGAGGAAAGUUUGUUUGGCUUGUGGUUUCAAUCUACAGUCCCAUGCUCUUGGUCCUAUAGCAAGACAGAAUAUCGUGGUGAACUGCAAUGGUGCAGGAGGCUGAAAGGAGAGAGAGAGAGAGAGAGAGAGAGAGAGAGAGAGAGAGAGAGAGAGAGAGAGUAGCCCCAGGGUCCUAAUAUCCCUCUCAAGGCCAUGUCUUUGAUGACCUAUCUUUCUUCUACUAGGUAUUAUGAUAAAUCUUGAGGGGGACCUUGGUGGAUUCCAUGGGGGACAAACACCCCAGGCAGACAGAGCUUAAGUGAAAAGUUUUAUUAGAAAGGGGAGGGAGGGGGAAGGAAAGAGAAAAGAGGUAAAGAGACACAGAGACAGAGAGAGGACAGAAGAGAAGGGGGAGACAGGAAAAGUCCUGUCUGCCCCAAGGGAACCACAGGGAAGAGAGAGCAGGAAAGAGAAGAGAGCAGAAAGAGAGGGAAAGAGAGCAUAAGUGGGUGGGGGUCUUUCUUUUAAAAGGUCCUUUGCACCUUCGUGCAGACUACACAAUCAUGGAACCCUGGGCUGACCAGGGUACUGCCUGAGUGCAUUCUGCCAGGUGACAGGGGCAGGCCAGCAUAAUGCCUGAAUCCUUACAUUAGGUCCCAUCUCCCAGAAGUUUCACUGUCAUCUGAUAGCACCAUAGGCUGGGGCCAAGCUUCUAACACAUGGAACUCGGGGAACAUUCCAGGCCUGAACCACAGCACAGCUGUAGGGCGGCUGGUGUCUCUGAGCAUGACUCUCCUUUGGAUGUUCCCUGCUUAUUUUAGUUAAAAAGAGCAUCAUGAGACUGUGACACCGUCUCGCUGGAUUCAGGUGACUUUCACUUUUUGAAGCAGUGAACUGAUGCUCCUGACUUGGGCUUUGCAACUGGGGUAUAUGGAUGACCCUGCUUGCUUUAAUUACAUCCCCCAAGCAAGUGAGCGAUGGGGAGCCUCCCUCUCUUCUCCCCUUCAUGGCCCCAGACAAGAAAAACCAAGUCUAUGUGUGCUGAGAAGCCUUCUCCCUGCUCCACAGCGCCCCACUUUGCACCCCUAUUCCCCACCCCUCCCCCAGCCAUGAGUAAACUUUUUGAGCUAGUUCCUGUUUCAUCUUCUUCCUGUUAAUUAACACGAAGUACCUGGUGCUGAGAAGUGCCCGGCUAUUUAGUUCAGAGCAGACAAGUCUAAACACAGGCCUACCAACUACAGGAGGAAAAAGGAUUGGAGGGGAGACUUGGCUCAUGGAUCCAGGGGCUCCAACAUUAGAGAGAAGGGCUUCUAGAAGUAUCACCUGCCCUUUGUCGCUUGUCCCAGCUUCUCAUUCGCUUCCUGAAUCACCCACACAAGUUCUAGCCUUUGCUCAUGUAGGUUUUACAGAACAGUCACCAAGACAGCAUUCUCUCGUAGCAAGCAGGGCUUUCCAGAGGGUAUGCCCUUCACACCUUGUGUGGACACAGGAGCAGUGUGGAGCUAGAGAGGAGUGGGCAGAGGGAAGGGUCAGGCAGCUGGGAUGAGGGACAAAGGGACCCCCAGAGAGGGACUUCACUUGCUUGGGAAUUCUGCCCCGAGGACAGCCUUGCUCUGUGGCUACUGAUCAAAAAAUGUCAACUUGAGGUCACUUUAGUCACUGCCGUCUGCCAACAAGGACAAAGGCCAUUCUGUGGCCAGGGAGCCCAAGGCAAGAGGCUGGGUGUGGAGGAGGGAUGUCUGUGAUGAUGCUCCCAUAAAAACGGACUUCAGUGAGUGGAACCGGCUUUCCCUGAGAAGAGGAACCUGGUGCAAAGGGUCUUAAUGUCUUCUCUGCUUUACCGCAACACAGUCAUGGAAAGAAAAAUGUGUGUGUAUCAGGAUUUCCUGGGUACAUUUGCCUUCUAAGAAGCCUCACGACCUGAGGGUGACACGUGGCCAUCCAAAGAGUCUUUGUUUCAUUCUGAGAAAGUCCUCCGAGGGGAGUUAACUUAGUGCUUUCUGUUUCAGCUGCUGAUACAAAAUUCAGGGGUGUAGGUCCCUGGUAAAGCCCUACUUAGCAUACACAAGGCCCUGAAUUAAAAUACCAUCACCCCCGAAAUGAAACAAACAUGAGUGAGGACUUUAAAUCAACCAAUAAUAAGGCACUCCAUAAAUCUGCAUAUUCUGAGACUUGACUAGGAUGUGGUCACACAGCCUGGUUCCCUGCAGUCUCCAAAUCACAAAACCAGUUUCCUGUGUGCAAGGCAUUUGCAUCUGAGGUGAAGAUUUAUAGGAGAUGGCCACCAGAUGGUGUCUUGGUUCUCCUCAAGCUAUAUUCUGCUCGGCUUUACUCUCUUGUUGAGAGCAGACAUUAUAACAUUUCUUUGGGAAGAACAGUCAAUUCCAGGGGAGAUGGUGGGACCCCAGGAGCCACAAGUUAUCAUUUUAUUUAAUCAGUCUGACAAGACUCCAGGCUCAUAAACACAGGAAAGACACAGCCAUUGGCCAGGAGUUAAUGGAAGAGCAGAUUUCUUCACACAGUGGGAUGCAGCCAUUAAAGCCCUAUCGGCUCCCGACAUGCAAACCUGACUCAGGGCUAAUUGCUCCCCACUGGCAUGUCGAUGCUGGAUUCAGAGCGUCUGGGCAAAGUCGCUGAAGAGGGACCGAGAACUCCUCAAUCUUACAUAAACCUCAAUGACUUUCAAAACACGUUUUUAUUUCUCUUCUCCCUUUUUCUCUUAAGACAGGAUUUCACCUAUUUGAACUCCUAGCAGUCCCCCUGUCUCAGCCUCCCAAGUAUUGGGGUUUUAGGCAUGUGCCACAAUGCCCUGAUGAAUCAUUUGAGUUUUAAAAUUGCUUUUCAACAGCUGAUAGGACUUGUUUCUCUUUCAGUAUAAAGCAGGAAUUUAAGUUGGAAGACUUACAAAAGAGCUUGGUGACUGGGACAAUGUACUUCUUACUGUUUUUCUCAAAGACAGAAGCUGGCCCAGAUUACAGGCUCAAUUUCUUACUCUGCCUAUGGGGGAGGGAGAGUUGGGGAACUCUGACUGAAGGGGGCGGAGUGGUGUUCCUGAAGGGGGGUGGUGUUACUGAAGGAGGGGGAAUCUGUGUUAUUGCAGGGGUGGUGUUACUGGAGAGAGUGAGCAGACCUGCUCCCAGAUGCUUCCAGAUGAAUAUGAGUCUCUAAGUGCAGUGGGGGCAGGGUUAACAAUGACCUUGCAGUUUGAGAUUCUGUUCUCUGGUGAAACAGUUCCAUUUGCCUCCUUGGACUCGGCUUUUCCUCCUUGGAAGUCGAUGAUGUGUAAAUGUUACACUGCUUUCUUACCUGCACUCACAUGCCCCUUAGACGUUAAGAUGGAAGAAUUUUUGUCUCCACUACUUCCCCUUCACUUCCCAAGUCUCCAGGCAUCAGAGUCCCAUUUCCACUCUCCAGGGUUUGUCUCAAAGCAUGGAGAUGUGGCAGGCAUCGUUAGUGUGACCAGCAUGUCUCUUAAGCUAGCUAUAGCUAAGAGUCAUUCACUGAGGACAACUCUGUGACUUCUCAGGGCCCCGGGAUUUCCCGACAUGCCUGUUGUGAGCUCAUCUGUGCUUCCGACUGGUUCUCCUUGAAAAGCCUAUGUGGAAGCCCAAAGCCUGAGUCUGUAGGAAGGCAGCUGUCACAAUUAGGAGUCUAUCUGAACAAGCCACGCCCAGUUUAUUUUCAGUAAUGGGCAUGAGGCUGUCUAUCCAAGGCUUCCCCCAGAGUCUUUAAAAGGGGGUUUGAAUGGGUAACAACUGUCUCUGGCAUUGAUUUAAAAAAAUCCAUGCUGGCUGGGCGUUGGUGGUGCACGCCUUUAAUCCCGGCCCUCAGGAGGCAGAGGCAGACAGAUCUUUGUGAGUUCGAGGCCUGCCUGGUCUACAGAGUGAGUGCCAAGACAGGCUCCAAAACUAUACAGAGAAGCCCUGUCUCGGAAAAAAAAAUCCAUACUGGUGUGGCAAGUAUCUACUUCUUAUAAUUGUUUUGGGUGCCCGUUCUGUCUCUUUUCAAGGAAAGAACUGAUUAGAACCGCUGAGUAGACCCAGGGUCUCCUAUCAAUUGAGCAGUGGCUAUGGCAAUACUGUGCCCUUAGGAGUCAAACCUACCGGCUAAGCUCUUAGCUUUGCCACGUGGAAGCUGUAAGGGUUUGCACCAUUUUACCACUGGGAACACUUUUCCAUUUCAUUCCCACGCCAGUCAGGCAGGGCUGCGGGGAAAUUGGGCUUCCCCCUGGAGCGCCUGCAAGCUGAUGGUACGACUGGCUGUGCGCCAUCUGCUGGUAGGUGGAGGUAAACCGACUCUUUAGGAGACGGGUGCACCUUUAGGGCAACAAGGACUUUUCAAGGAUUUCAUCUUGCCCUCUGAUUUUCUUUGAAAGAAAUUCAGAAUUAAAGGGGAUGACAGAUUUGACUGAGUUCUCACAGUAGUAGAGUCUGGAGGUUAAGAGCAAGUAUCUUGGCGUCUUCUAGUCUAAAUCCCGCCUUGGCAGGCAAGAAUGAGUGUAACCUUGGGCAAAUUUCGAAACUUCUCACUAAUCAGUUUCCUUAUCUAUCAAAUAAGGAGCAUAAUGCUCACCACCUCAGGGUUUUUAAAGAAGAUUAAAUGAGGCAGUGCAUGUGGAAGUGCUUAGCACUUUGUCUGACCCCCGUAUGAAGCAUACUGCUAGAACAUUCUUUAUCCGGCAGCUGAUGAUUUGUAUUGACAAUUUUUCUUAGGGACGACAGUAUUCAAAUUAGUUGUUUAGGUUUCAAAAUAAGAGAGUGAAGCACCCCAGACAGCAUGGAAGAAGAAAACAGCAGGCAGACAGGUGUUUGGCGUUAAUGAAAGGGGUUUUGGGAGCCAUCAUGGGUCAAAUUCAUUGCCAUGGACUAAACAGGCUGAGUGAAAGAGGAAGGGGACCUGAGCAUGGGACUUGUGUCCCAGAGUAAAGAGGCUGGUGGGGGCAGACAGAAAGUCUCACCUGGCUCCCAAGAGACCCACUGGAACCCCCACAGUCUAGACUCUUCUGCAGCUUCCUCUGGUUUUGUAAUAUUGACAUUUAGAAAGACCACUUUCUCAGAGCUAUAAAGACUAUAGCCUUCAAGGAGGCUUGAAUAUUUCCAAUCCUUUGUGAUCUGGCCAGGAACUCUGUUGACCUGAAGUCUGGAAGCAAACACUCUAUUCCACCUCUUCUCCUGUUCGCUAGUUGAGACAUUCUGAGUGUCUGGUCCAGGUCAAGGAGUAAGAGCCUAAACCAAGCAUCAGUAGAUGCCAGCCUCACAGGGCACAGAUCAGGGCAAAAUGGGUCUGAGAGGAAAUGCAGACAAUCUCGCAGAUCUGAUAGCUCUGUGUGGGUGUGCAGAGGAAGCUGGCAGACAAAUACUAUCUGUACUCAGGUUGGAGAUGUUCUUUAUGGCCUCCUGCGAUGCUUGUAUUUUUCUGGUACUAUUUUCUUUUAUUUGUUUCGGGUUUGGAGGAUGGGGUCUCAUGUAGCCCAAGCUGGUCACAAAUUUUCUAUAUAGCUGAGGUUAGCCUUGAACUCCUGAUCUCUUUGCCUCUGCCUUCAGAAUCCUGGCAGUUAUAGACAUGCACUAUCAUACCCAAUUUGGCACUAUUUUUUAACUGUCACACACAUGCACACAUUAAAAAAAAAUCCUUCUCCUUGUUCUUAGGGUGUGUAUGACACAGUAUCCAACAUGCUUGGAGUUUUAGACACUUAGGGGGAAUGAAUGGGGAGACAAACAAUUGUGCCUUUGAGAACACCCCCCUGCCCCCACCACCAUGUUUUUCAGCAGACAUCCUUCUAUGCUGGAUCUGUAGAGCACUGAGGAAGAAGAGAAGAAAAUGAAGGUGAAAUGGGUGUGCAGAGAGGGCAAGAAGACAGCUCCAUGGCCUACAGCAGCAGCAUGGGUAGUUUUCUUCACUCUCUUUUUCCUAGGCCAUGGAUGCACUCAUUUAAUCCAUUAGUAUUUGUUGAGAAUACCAUCUGUACCAGGCACUAUGCCAAAUGCUGACAAACAGCGCAUAGGCUUGCCUAAGGAGUUCCACAAUCUGUGCCAUCGACAUCCUGGUACCGUCUACACCAAGCAGUUCACUCCCCACAGUGACACCAGCUUCCUGGCAGAGGCCUGUCCUGGCCAAAGUAGGGUUCUGAAAAUUUAGGAAUGGUUCGGCAUGUACUGAUUCAGAAACACAGUUGGAAGACAACUAGAUGAGGUAGACGAGGAAGGUGAGAUGGAGUCAGCCAAAAGGCUUCUUGGGAAAAUCUUGAAAUAGGAGGACCCAGGGUCUGAUUCUGGGGGUCAAGGCAAGGCAUAUGCAGGAGGCUGGGAGAAGCAGGCAGUACCACACUUGGAAGGACAUAGGGGCAGAUAGCAGCUCUUUACCUUACUCUAAAGUGUGUCAUAUUUCCAUGAAGAAGAAACCUAAAAAACACCAAGAUUUUUAUGUUUUAUUUUUAUGUAUAUGAGUUUUGCCUGCAUGUAUAUGCACCACGUGCCUGCCUGGCACCUGUGGAAGUGGAGAUGGGUGAUCGUGAGCCACUAUGUAGUGCUGAGAGUUGAACCUGGGUCCUCUACAAAAGCAACAAGUAUGCUUAACUGCUGAGCCAUCUCCAGCAACAGCAGCUUUUAGCACAGUCAUAGCUUAGAUUAGCCAUAGUGAUAGUAAGAUACCUACCUGGUGGCUGAGAAAAGGAGCAGGGGUUUCUUUCAGUAAGUUGCAAGAUCAGUGACAAAGGCCUGACUUGGUGUCAAUCACAGAUGAGAUACAAGGGAUGCCACCUUCCCUAAAGUGAGGUCUAGGGAAGAUGGCAUCCAGGAAUGUCACUUUCAGCAUCUGCCCCAGGUCACUAGAUUUUUCAAUUUGCACUGUGCUAAUUCAGUGUAGGCAGGGCAAGAGCUCCCUCUCAGUGGACAUUUGCUCCAGAGCACUGAGCUUCUCUCUGUGCACCAAUUCAUAAUUGGUAUUGGAGAGCAACUGUGGUCUUGGAGCGGGGGUGUUCUCAGCAACCCUGAAUGCCAUCAGAGUGUGUUGGAAUACACUGUAGCUGCAGCGCCAUGGGAAGACGUGCUCUCAGGGUCUAAGGUGGGAUCUGCAAGGUGUUUCAAUAGGAUAGUCCAUAGGUCUAGGUGCCUUUUCUAUUGAUUUGUUAUACUGGGGGUUGAAUUCAUGGCCAAACGCUUGCUGGGAUAGUGUUCAAAAAAAAAAAAAAAAAAGGCAAAUGAAAGAAUUUUAUUUUAAGACAAGCUCUUUCUGAGUUGCCCAGGCUGGUCUCGAACUUACAAUUCUUCUGCUUCAGGUUCCACCUGCUACUACCUGGGGCAUGCACCACUACACCUGGCUUCUGAUGCUUCUCAGUCUGAGCCUCACUCAGGUGAAGGGGGCUCUGGCUCCAUUGUUUCUCCACCUUCCACCUCUGAUGAGAUGACUGUGUUGUCACAUUCUUCCUGGGAGCUGAUGUGGAACAGGCUGAAGUAAAACAUGCUCCGCAAACCCACUCAGCAAGCUCACCUGGUUUCCUUCCGACUGGCUGCCUGUGUGAGACGUCACCUCCUCCACUGACAGGACUUCCUCCAUUGACAGGAAGGCCCUUUCCCCACCAGGAAGUAGAAAACAUGUAAAAAGCAUUGGAGGAGAAACUGAACAUCAAAACAGGCUGUCUUAGACUGGUAACUGUGCAACGGAGUGCUGUUGUAGAGAGAUUUAACAGUGGUUACUGGAUGAUUGUAAUGAAAGAAACUCAAGGUUACUGCUUUUGAAGUGAGUGUUGCUGGGUUUUUAAAAAAUGCCUUUGGAGUUUGUAGAGCUUUACAGGAAGGAGCCGUGGUGAAGAAGCAGGGGCUCUCUGUGUGAUACACUCUGCAGCCCAGUGAAGAUUUGCAAGUCAAACCUCAUUUGCAUCUAAUUUUCAGAACAGAAGUCACAACAGAUUACUUCAAGGUGAAAAAUUCUGAAGACUCUUGGGAAUUUCUUCAAUUAGACCAGGACAAAGAAAACAAAGCUAGGAAAUAAAAUGGGACUUAAAACUUUGCUGUGUGAAUGUGCGGGGGUUGACACGUCUAUAGCAAUUCUAGAGAAGGACCGUCAUGCAUUGCCCUAGUGCGCCCCUUUGGGGCUGGGCUAGUUUGAUUCAAGAUGCUAAUGGCAUUAUUUUUAAAGCUAAACCUGACAAUGUAAAGUUCUAGUUUUAUAAAAUCUGCUAACCUAUUGUAAGAUGUUAAAAAUAUAAAUUAAUACAGUUUUUAUGUUUUCAGAAGUUAAGCUUAAGCAAGCAACUAAAAUGUGUACAUGUAGCUACUGUUUAAAGAAUAUAAGGUAACUCUAUAUGCAAUUUAAAUUCAACUGUGCUAGGUUUCAGAUAUUUUACUAAGUUAAAACCAGUUACGGUCAGACUGAAAAUUAAUUAAUUACAGAAAUAAGGCCUUACCUAGCCAUCUAUGUGCUUAAGGCAAGUAACUAAACAGACAGACCUCUAAUGCUUCAGAGACCUGCAGAAUAUGGCAUUUAAAAGUUGUUUUAAAAGUUUAUAAUAUCAGACAGACCAACAAAUCCUGACAAUGACCCAUAGUCUCCAAAGAAGAUUAUGAGGCACCCCAGUUCCUGCACCUGGAUGAUGACAACGACGCUGACCAGUGAGCAAGAUGCUCAGAUGCAAUACCUACUGCCUGCCAGGACUUGACCAAGACUGUGGACAAAACUGCUAGACACUGAAAAAUUGAUUGCAGCCCCUAUGCCUAGACAAAACAAGGUCAGUCUUUUCCAUGUCCCUCUUCCACAGAGAGAAAAAAACUCUCACCUUAUAGGCCUGGUGAAGACUGCUGUUCUUUGAGACUCCUGCCUCCAAUGCUGGUGGAGACUUGGCUAACUGUAUAUGGACUGGCCCCUGUCACUUUUUAAUAGACUCUGAAACUGUAUAAAAUUUACCCUUCUCAGAUCUCUGAAAGUAUUAAUGGUUGUCAGCUUGACAGCGUCAGGCAGUCAGAUCCACUACAGACUAUAGUUGGCUUGGUAGCUGAUAAAGUAAUGACUGCCUACUGUUCAGGCACAAGCUCAAGGUUUUUAGGUUUAUUUUGGUUGUCAUCUAAGUAUAAACUUAAAGGGCUUUUCAUCAGGCCAAAGGUACCUCUGUCCAAUCCAUACCUGGCUCUCUGGACAGAAGACAAAUGUACACGUUUCUAGCCCAAAUUUAUAGUUUUUGCCAGGACUCAAAAUAUAUGUUCCUGCUGUUUGAACAGAUAACUGGUUUUUUUUGCACUGUGGGUUUCAAUAAAUAAGUUUUAACUUCUGUUCCCAGUUUCAACAUGUCUUAAACAGGUUUCUACUUCUGGCAGACACAACUGAGUAUCAGUUGUUGACUACAGCCUGCCCCUAAAGAACUGCGAGCCCUGGACUUGCUGUGGAUGUGAACCAGUCCAGCUGAGGUGGACACCCCCUAUCUCUUCAACAGAGUCUGCCAACCAGCUGCUUCCCCAUUGCCUGAAUUCCCUUUUUGCUUUUGACUAGCAUUUCAGCCUUUUUGGGUCCCUAACUUCAUCCCAAAGUCGGCAGGAAGUAGCAUGGGAAAGAAUACAUAGCCCAUUUUCUCUAGUUGAAAUACUAAAUCAAAAUAAACUCCCUUACAUAGGGGAUGCCAAUAUCACUCACUCUCUGAUGGGGACGCUGGAGAGACAGCAAUUCCAUAAUUGGAAUCUCCAAAAAGAAAAUGGGGGAAUGAAGGGAUCAGCUCCCCGUUUUGGCAGCCAUAACAGCCUAACAAGUGCUUGCCUGACCUUGCCUUGGUCACUAGGAGGUCAGAUGCCUGCCUCAUGGCAAGGAACCAAACAGAAGUUAGAUGGUGGUGCUAUGCUUUACGGCUAUGGGUGUGCUUUACAGACAAGUGCGCAGCAAUGACGUGCAGAGCAUAGCCCUGGGAGGGCCUAUGUGCCAUGACAGCCAACUGGCCAAUCAACACAGGGCAAGUCCUCCAAUCCUGAAGGCACACCAAUCCUGAGCCUGUGCGUACCCUUAGACACUCCCCUUAUGCUUUCCUAUAAGAUCUCUGUCCCAUGGUUUCUCAGGGUCUUUUCCCAGCCAUCCGCCGUGUUGGAUGGGUGAAAGGCCUGAGCUAAUGGGGUUAGCUCCUUAAACAACUGCAAUAAAUCCUUUUGCUGUUUGCAUCAAGCUUUCCACCUCCGUGAGUGAUUGGGGUCGCUGCAGUCCUGGGCUGAGAGACUGGGGGCCUGAGCCUCUGA
rnacentral:lncRNA from 1 species